rnacentral:rRNA from 1 species
AACUUUGGACAAUGGGGGAAACCCUGAUCCAGUCAGCCCGCGUGUAUGAUGAAGGCCUUCGGUUUGUAAAGUACUUUUCGCAGAGAAGAAAAUGUACCCCCUCAUACGGGAUCCGGCUGACUGAAUCUGCAGAAUAAGCACCGGCCAACUACCAGCCAGCAGCCCCGGUAAUACGUAGGGUGCAAGCGUUAAUCGGAAUUACUGGGCGUAAAGCGUGUGUAGGCGGUUCGGAAACAAAGAUGUGAAAUCCCAGGGCUCAACCUUGGAACUGCAUUUAUAACUGCCGAGCUAGAGUAUGUCAGAGGGGGGUAGAAUUCCACGUGUAGCAGUGAAAUGCGUAGAUAUGUGGAGGAAUACCGAUGGCGAAGGCAGCCCCCUGGGAUAAUACUGACGCUCAGACACGAACGCGUGGGGAGCAAACAGG